CAAUUAGUAGAUGGCAUAUGUCCAUUUGUGGCUUGUGCUUCUGGAAAACAAGGCAUGGCUAUCACCACUAGGCAGCUCCCUGGGUUUCCUGAGUCAGCUAUUACCAACGGAACUGCUUCAGUGCUACGGGAAAUGAGGUGAAAAAAGUCAAUGACUACCAGUCAAGCUCCAAAGGAAAUGGCACAGCUAAUCUUGGAGUGUGCCGCCAUCCUCCCCAAACACAUCUCGACUCUGAAAGUGACCCUAUGAAGGCUAUGACUGCUAAGCAGCAGGCAGAACAGGCAACCAUGGAGAAGAUUGUAUGCUGAGAUGGAAGACCCAAAAGAUUGAAGCAGCCUGGAUAACUCGGGUACCACACAGAGGACAACUGCCCUAGAGAGUUGCCUUGACCCGCAAAAGACAUUGCCUGAGAUGAAAAUAAACUUUUAUUGUGUUAAACCUUUG
rnacentral:lncRNA from 1 species